rnacentral:piRNA from 1 species
UGAGUAAUUGAUAAAUGAGAG